rnacentral:rRNA from 1 species
CUCUUAGAUGUUCUGGGCUGCACGCGCGCUACACUGAAGCUAUCAACACGUUUUCCCUCCCUGAGAAGGGCGGGUAACCUUUUGAAUCAGCUUCGUGGUAGGGAUCGGGGCUUGCAAUUGUUCCCCGUGAACCAGGAAUUCCUAGUAGACGCGAGUCAUAAGCUCGCAUCGAUUAAGUCCCUGCCCUUUGUACACACCGCCCGUCGCUACUACCGAUUGAACGUUUUAGUGAGGCAUUUGGACCGACGCAUCUCAGUUUAACCGCUGGUUUGUGUUGGAAAGACUUCCAAACUUGAGCGUUUAGAGGAAGUAAAAGUCGUAACA